UAAUACAUGCAAGUCGAACGCACUCUCGUUUAGAUUGAAGGAGUUGCUCUGAUUGAUAAACAUUUGAGUGAGUGGCGACGGGUGAGUAACACGUGGGUAACCUGCCCUAAAGUGGGGGAUAACAUCUGGAAACAGAUGCUAAUACCGCAUAAAACCUAACACCGCAUGGUGUAGGGUUGAAAGAUGGUUUCGGCUAUCACUUUAGGAUGGACCCGCGGUGCAUUAGUUAGUUGGUGAGGUAAAGGCUCACCAAGACCGUGAUGCAUAGCCGACCUGAGAGGGUAAUCGGCCACACUGGGACUGAGACACGGCCCAGACUCCUACGGGAGGCAGCAGUAGGGAAUCUUCCACAAUGGACGAAAGUCUGAUGGAGCAACGCCGCGUGAGUGAAGAAGGUUUUCGGAUCGUAAAACUCUGUUGUUGGAGAAGAAUGUAUCUGAUAGUAACUGAUCAGGUAGUGACGGUAUCCAACCAGAAAGCCACGGCUAACUACGUG
rnacentral:rRNA from 1 species